rnacentral:pre_miRNA from 1 species
UCUGUCCCACCGCUGCCACCCUCCCCUCUGCCUCAGUGUGCCAGGCAUCAGCACUCACUCACAGAGGCAGGCUGGAUGGCGGGUGGGACAACAG